CUACGGGUUGCUGCAGUCGAGGAAAUUUUUCAAUGCCCGCAAGGGUGAACGAGUAAGCCAGAGUGUUUUCUUUACGAAAACUUUUGUCUGUUGUAAAAAGACAGACGAAUAAGGACUGGGCAAGACCGGUGCCAGCCGCCGCGGUAAUCCCGGCGGUCCAAGUCGCAUCCACACUUAUUGGGUCUAAAACAUCCGUAGCUUGUUUUGUAAGUCUCUUGUGAAAUUUUAUAUCUCAAAUAUAAAGCGUGCAAGAGAUACUACAUUGCUAGAGACCGGAAGACGCAAAGAGUACGACGGAGGUAGCGGUAAAAUGUGUUAAUCUCUGCCGGACUAACAAUGGCGAAGGCACUUUGCGAGUACGGAUCUGACAGUGAGGGAUGAAGGCUAGGGGCGCAAAAGGGAUUAGAUACCCCCGUAGUC
rnacentral:rRNA from 1 species